rnacentral:rRNA from 1 species
AUUGAACGCUGGUGGCAGGCCUAACACAUGCAAGUCGAACGAGUGGCGGACGGGUGAGUAAUGUCUGGGAAACUGCCUGAUGGAGGGGGAUAACUACUGGAAACGGUAGCUAAUACCGCAUACCAUCGGAUGUGCCCAGAUGGGAUUAGCUAGGAGGUGGGGUAAAGGCUCACCGAGGCGACGAUCCCUAGCUGGUCUGAGAGGAUGACCAGCCACACGGGACCUGAGACACGGCCCAGACUCUUACGGUAGGCAGCAGUGGGGAAUAUUGCACAAUGGGCGCAAGCCUGAGGCAGCCAUGCGGCGUGUAUGAAGAAGGCCUUCGGGUGUUAAAGUACUUUCAGCGGGGCGGCGGUACCCGCAGAAGAAGCACCGGCUAACUCCGUGCCAGCAGCCGCGGUAAUAC